CUGAGCCAUCCAGGUGCCCCCAGAGUCAAAUUUUUGAAAAGCCAGGUGUUGCUGUGCAGCCUCCUGGAUUCUUAAGAGAAUGAAGAAACCACAAGUAGGCACAGAGAUAGGCAGAGAGAG